CCUACGGGAGGCAGCAGUUGGGAAUUUUGCACAAUGGACGAAAGUCUGAUGCAGCAACGUCGCGUGCGGGAUGAAGAUUUUCGGAUUGUAAACCGCUUUUAUUUGGGAGUAACUGUUUGAACGUACCAAAUGAAUAAGCACCGGCUAACUCCGUGCCAGCAGCCGCGGUAAUACGGAGGGUGCAAACGUUGUCCGGAAUUACUGGGCGUAAAGCGCAUGUAGGUGGUCUAAUAAGUGAACGAUUAAAUACCGACGCUUAACGUCGGAAAGGUUAUUCAUACUGUUAGACUCGAGGAAGACAGGGGCAGAUGGAACUUUAAGUGUAGGAGUGAUAUCCGUAGAUAUUUAAAGGAACACCAAUGGCGAAGGCAGUCUGCUGGGUCUUUUCUGACACUGAGAUGCGAAAGUGUGGGGAGCAAACGGGAUUAGAUACCCCGGUAGUCCACACUGUAAACGAUGCUCACUAGGUCUUGGAGGGUAUCGACCCCCUUUGGACCGAAGCUAACGCGUUAAGUGAGCCGCCUGGGGAAUACGAACGCAAGUUUAAAACUCAAAGAGUAUACGGACGUGAGAGACGCGACGACGACGACGACGGAGGAGAG
rnacentral:rRNA from 1 species